AUGCUGAUGAACAAGGCGUCCAGCUCCCUCCUGGACCAGUACAAGGUGAUGGAGCGAAUGAAGAAGCAGCACAGGAUUCUCAAACGCAAGCUUCCGGCCAUCCUCGAUGUCAUCACCGACGCCGAGGAGCAGGCAACAGCACACAGAGAAGGUGCGAAAGCCUGGCUCCAGGAGCUCAAAAUAGUGGCAUAUAAGGCAAAUGAAGUCUUUGACGAAUUCAAAUACGAAGCACUCCGACGUGAAGCCAAGAAGAAUGGGCACUGCAACAAGCUCGGCUUCGAUGUAAUCAAACUCUUCCCUACUCACAACCGUGUUGUGUUCCGUUACAAAAUGGGUCGCAAGCUUUGCGAGAUUCUACAUGCCAUCGAGGUACUCAUAGUAGAGAUGCAGGUCUUUGGGUUCAAGUACCAACCACAACCACCAGUCUCCAAGCAGUGGAGGCAAACAGAUUAUGUUAUCAUCGACCCAAGAGAAAUUGCUGGCAGAUCUAGAGGCAAAGAUAAGAAGAAUAUUGUUGAUACACUAUUUGGUCAAUCUACCAAUGCAGAUCUCACCAUUGUACCCAUUGUUGGAAUGGGUGGCCUUGGCAAAACCACGUUAGCACAGCUCAUAUACAAUGAACCUGAAAUUCAGAAGCAUUUCCAGUUGCUACUUUGGGUAUGUGUCUCUGAUACAUUUGAUGUGAACUCCCUGGCUAAGAGUAUAGUUGAAGCAUCUCCCAACAAUAAUGAUGAUACAGACAAACCACCACUCGAGAGACUUAAAAAAUUGGUUAGUGGACAGAGGUUUCUCCUUGUACUGGAUGAUGUGUGGAACAGAGAGGUCUAUAAGUGGGAAAGGCUGAAGGUCUGUCUUCAACAUGGUGGGAUGGGUAGUGCAAUGUUAACAACAACUCGUGAUAAACAAGUCAGCUGA
rnacentral:rRNA from 1 species